GGGGUAAGCGUUAUCCGGAUUUACUGGGUGUAAAGGGAGCGUAGACGGACUUGCAAGUCUGAUGUGAAAAUCCGGGGCCCAACCCCGGAACUGCAUUGGAAACUGUAUAUCUAGAGUGUCGGAGAGGCAAGUGGAAUUCCUGGUGUAGCGGUGAAAUGCGUAGAUAUCAGGAGGAACACCAGUGGCGAAGGCGGCUUGCUGGACGAUGACUGACGCUGAGGUUCGAAAGCGUGGGUAGCAAACA
rnacentral:rRNA from 1 species